rnacentral:sRNA from 12 species
CUCAAUAGCCGGAGUUCUCCGGCACACAAAAAAGUCACCCUGUUCAGGGUA